UACGUAGGGUGCAAGCGUUAAUCGGAAUUACUGGGCGUAAAGCGUGCGCAGGCGGUUUUGUAAGUCAGAUGUGAAAUCCCCGGGCUUAACCUGGGAACUGCGUUUGAAACUACAAGGCUAGAGUGUGGCAGAGGGGGGUGGAAUUCCACGUGUGGCAGUGAAAUGCGUAGAGAUGUGGAGGAACACCGAUGGCGAAGGCAGCCCCCUGGGUUAACACUGACGCUCAGGCACGAAAGCGUGGGGAGCAAACAGG
rnacentral:rRNA from 1 species